UACGUAGGGGCGUAAGCGUUAUCCGGAAUUAUGGCGUAAGGAGCUAGCGUAGGCGGUUUGUCGCGUCUGCCGUGAAAGUCCGGGGCUCAACUCCGGAUCUGCGGUGGGUACGGGCAGACUAGAGUGAUGUAGGGGAGACUGGAAUUCCUGGUGUAGCGGUGAAAUGCGCAGAUAUCAGGAGGAACACCGAUGGCGAAGGCAGGUCUCUGGGCAUUAACUGACGCUGAGGAGCGAAAGCAUGGGGAGCGAACAGG
rnacentral:rRNA from 1 species